rnacentral:misc_RNA from 1 species
UCAUUCUUUCCCCAAGGGAAGCUAUAUUCCUUGUGGGUGCCUACGGUAUCCUGAGUUGCUUACCUACGAAGUGGAAUUUGUUGGAUUUGUUGUGUUCAUCUGCCGCGUGCCCUUUGGGUGCGGCGCAGACRUGAGGCGGGCUCYGUGUUCUCAGCGUGCCGAGCGUAUUGUCGCUUGGCCGUUGCAGCCCAUAGAGGCUUAGCUUGUUCUCUCGGAUGCGGUAUGCUAUGUGUGGGCGCGAGGUCUAGGCCUCGAUGCGUCCAAGCACUGUCCCUUUAYCGGAACGACUGUCGUGCCCGUCUUGAUCUUYCCGACCAAGGCCUCAUCACAAUGGGGCUUACUGGACGAGGGUUGCUCAUGCGGACAUUGGCGUCGAAGAGGAAUGC